rnacentral:rRNA from 1 species
CCUACGGGAGGCAGCAGUGGGGAAUUUUGGACAAUGGGCGCAAGCCUGAUCCAGCAAUGCCGCGUGAGUGAAGAAGGCCUUCGGGUUGUAAAGCUCUUUUGUCAGGGAAGAAACGGGUCUUUCUAAUACAGAGAUCUAAUGACGGUACCUGAAGAAUAAGCACCGGCUAACUACGUGCCAGCAGCCGCGGUAAUACGUAGGGUGCAAGCGUUAAUCGGAAUUACUGGGCGUAAAGCGUGCGCAGGCGGUUUUGUAAGUCUGUCGUGAAAUCCCCGGGAUCAACCUGGGAAUGGCGAUGGAGACUGCAAGGCUAGAAUCUGGCAGAGGGGGGUAGAAUUCCACGUGUAGCAGUGAAAUGCGUAGAUAUGUGGAGGAACACCGAUGGCGAAGGCAGCCCCCUGGGCUAAGAUUGACGCUCAUGCACGAAAGCGUGGGGAGCAAACAGGAUUAGAUACCCUGGUAGUCCACGCCCUAAACGAUGUCUACUAGUUGUCGGGUCUUAAUUGACUUGGUAACGCAGCUAACGCGUGAAGUAGACCGCCUGGGGAGGUACGGUCGCGAGAGUAAACUACGAAGAAGUAGUACGCGUGAGACGUAGACGACGACGACGACGAGGGAGGAGG